ensembl:lncRNA
CCGCGUUGCCAAUAAGAGGUGCGUUCUGUCGUAUCUUUGGCCAGGCGGGCUGCUGAAACGAGGUGCCAAAAAUGUCCUGGCAGGGCUCGCUGUCUGCGCCGGGUCCGGCCUGUCCGUGCGGUGCUGGAGGCCGGCAGCACGCUGAGAUGUGAACAAAGGUGACCCCAAGGUUGAAGUUUCUUCAAGGAUGUCUUGGUCUGGAAUGUGGUUUAACAGCACAGGUGAAGAUCUUUGGAAAAGUAGAGCAUCUGUAAGUGUAUGGUAACCAUUGAGUCCUGGCCUGAACCACUGAUUGAGCAGCUGGGGAAAGGACCGGUCAGCCCUGGGAACGCAGGUGAAGGCAAUUCAGCUGUGAGACAGGAAGGGGUGGAGCCUGGCUGCACCUCUCUUAGACCUCAUUUAAGGACUGACUGCCACUGGGGUAGGAGCUCUGGUUGGAGAUCCCUCCCUUGUGGAGUCUCCUGUGAGCCUAGAGCUUCAGAGAUGGGUGAGCACCUUUCCUUUUUCUUUGUAACACCAUUCCCACUCCGCUAGUCCCUUUGCUGUUACACUCCUGUGUCGCUGGUCCGCUGUGCUGACCUUUCUGAUUGUAACAAGAGGUAUUAACUAAACUAUCAUCGUGGGGAAAAAAUGAGUUUCUGAGGAUCUAGAGAUUUUUUUUUCCUUUUGCUUUCUUACAAAAUAAGAGUGUGUUCCUUAAAAUUAUAAACUGCUCCUGUCCAAAAUAUGGGGGGAAAUUUAUUCAAAGUUCAAAGCCAAAAGGAAAAGUUUAAAUGUUGGUUCUUCCCCUCUGUCCCAUGCAAGCAUAUGCUGCUUGUGUUGUAAGGAUUUUAGAAGACUUGAAAAUUGUUGGGAGAACUAAAAAUGCAUGGAAAUGUUCUGGGGAUCAGAUGAAGUGUCCUUUCGCAAUGGUACAUGCAUUUUGAGUAACUGCAGAGUACAGCUUUUCUUAAAAACAAACAAUGUCUGCUCACUGGUUUGACUGUUACACUUAUGGCAUAAGAAAAUUAAUUAGCUUAGAAAAUGAUAUGUCAUAAAGAUUCAGGUUUGCUGUUUUUGUAAUAGAGGAAAAAUCUGUUACGUUUUGGUGCAGGAAUGUUAAGUCUUAAUUGAGGAAUUUUUAUUGUGUGCUUCAAUGAAGGAAACAGUCACCUCUAUCUGUUGUAGGUGUCAUUGAUUGGAAAUGCUGUAUACUGACAAACCUAUGGAAUCCUGUCUUGUCAGAGUCCUUAACAGAGCUGAGCAGCAGUGGUGGUCUGAGCUUGGCUCACCGUGGUGGGAAGUAGUCAUGAGGACCUGUGGUUAGUCUCCUGUUGGAAGAUGAAGAUACUCUGUUCUUAUCUGUACCUCCUGGUUUUUAAUGUUCGAGUACAAAGAAGUUGAUGUUGUGAGUAAUCACUGCAGUUAAUGUUUGAUUUUGAAUGUGGUUCACAUAUUUAUCCAAUUCCUUUGGUGCUGAAAGUCAUCUGUUGUUAAUUAUGUGACCAACAAAUUGUAAGUACGGGUUUGCACAUAGAAGCUGAUCAUGUGUCAGGAUCUUUGGCCCAAAUCUGAAAUGCUAAAGGCACUCACUUCUGGAAGAUGCUGAAACUUUAUUGAAUUAUGUUUUUACGAGCUUCUUUAUGAUUAUCUUUUAGGUAUUUUCUGAUCUAAUGUUGAAAAGCUAUUUAGUGUAACUGCAGUUAAGUGAUUUCAUCUCAAAUGUUUAUUUUGCUAUGCACAUCUCUUCCCCCUUUUCUUUUUUUAAUGUGAAGUGCUACAGCUUUACUUUAAGUUUAUAUGGAAAGCAACUAUACUUUAAGAAGUAUGCAGGAGGAUUUCCCAUGUCUGUAAACAUACUGGGUAGUUGAGCAUUUGCUGAAAUGAGCUGCCAAUUGUUUUCUGUCUUAUAAUACUCCUUUGUAGAUCUGCUGGUAUCUGGCUUGUCCCUGCUGCAUCUAUACAAUGCGUUCCUUCAUGUUUUGUGUAACAUCUUCCUCAGUCAUUUCUGUGUAUGUAAAUACAGAAACUGGAAAGAGAAAACUCUGUUUGUGAAUUGUCCCUCUUCCUGCCCUCACUUCUCCACCCCUCCAGUGUAGCUGGAAGGUUGGUCAUGAGCAGGAAGUGAGAACAAUAUUGAUCACUGGUAUCCAGGAAUUCUGAGGGGGAAGGGGGCAAAAAUGAGCACUGGAAAACAAUCUACGUGUUCUGACAACACAUUUAUGCUUUGAGACCCUUAGAAUGGGAGUGCUGUCGGUAGAAAAAGUAAAUGAAGACCUCGAGGUGUUGGUUGCAGAAGUAUCGAAGCUAACUGCCAUCGUAAGAGGCUUGGGUGUUGGUUUUGUGCCUUCUGUUACUUGUUCAGUUAUUUAAAUCACUCCUAAUAGUGGUUAGUGAGGUGCAAGCAGAGUGAAGCCUAAACCCAGAAGGGUUUUUGUGUAUUAUUUACCUUUAUUUUAGCUUGUCAAACUCAAAGCAGAGUUACAUUAAAACAAAGUAUCUUUCAGUGGUGACUUCUGUGACUGUAUAACUCCUGCCACAUGAGUGAUUACUGUUCAUUUCUGCACUUACUAUUUGCAAGUGCUGCAUGUUUGUGUCACAACACUGUUUUCUAACACUGUUUCAAGAGAGAAGAACGUAAAAAAAGGUAAUUUAAAGUGAUGUAUUUAAUGGGAAGUAGUUGUUCUAAGUUGCUCAACUGAGAAGAGAUGAGUACUGGCAUGUCUCAAAACUUGUUUUGUUCCCCAGGAGUUCAGCAUAGAGUGUUAUCUCCCUUUUAUUUGCACAGUAUCUCGCAUACCAGCAGAGCCUGGAAAUUCAUAAUGUUUAGCAAAAUGAGGAAAGAAAUCAAGAGUCGCACAUUUUUGCUGUUGGCAGUGGUAGCCUGAUCAACAUUUACCCGUCAGCCUGCCACCUCCCGUAACUUAGACACUAGUUUUUAAAACCACUUUCUGCAGCCGUUAGUCCUCAGUUUCUGGUUGCCAAAUAUGUGUUUUUUUCUUCUUGCGCAAACUUGUUGUUACUGCUGUGCUUAUAAGAGAGGGCUUAGCUGAGUUUUGGAGGUGUAUUUAGCAGCAGAUGUACUGCAUAUUGUCCUUUUUCUUGUGACAGUCCUUAAGAGUAUUUAAGUGUAUCAUUCAGCAUUUGAUGGGUGACCAAGCUAUUCUUUAUUUUCUGAAGCAUUGAACGUUUUGUUACAAAUGUGGGCUGAUAUUAUUACAGAUAAGUGGUUUUGUUCAUGGCUUUGAUGCUUAGUGUUGCUGUGAGAAAGUUCCCUGUGCAGGGUUCAACAAAUAAUUGUGGAGAGCAGCGGUUCCACUUUCUGUGCACGUGCUACCUAUUUUGUAAAUAAGCAUUGUAUGGCUGUUGGUCUUCCUUUUAAAAGCUGUCCUGUGCAUGGCUGACUUCAAAACUCUUAUAAAAGCUUAGGAAUUAAGUCAGUGUUGUAAACUAGAAACGUGAGGUAGACUUUCAGAAUUAUUUGGAAGGGGAAAAUACGUGUAUAUGAACUGAAGGAAUCUGAGUCAAAUGAGCAGGCUGUGCAGCUUUCCUGGGGUUUGUGAAAAAUCAAAAUGCAGUAACUUGUUAGACCUGUGUGAGGAGGAAUAGAGAACAUACGUUUCUAGCCCGUCAUAGAACUGUGUGUGGAUUAACACAAGCAAGAAAAGAGCCUCAGAGAGGUUCUUGCAAAACUGUGACAAAACACCUUUGCAAAACGUGAUGACCUCAGUUGUACUGUGGUAGAAUAAGACAAAAUCAGAGGUUGGAAAAAAAUGGCAACUCGUGGUAUAAAGAGGUUAAGAAAUUGUAGUAUUAAUAUUCAAGUAAAAUACAUUUAAUAACUUAAGUAGGAAAUGAAGUGAAAUGGUAUACUCUGAAGCUUAUCAAAGAGUUUACAGAAAGGUUCCUGAAGAUGACAGAUCUGGAGAAUUCAACUGAAAAUAGAAAAUCCGUUUUUUUUUUUUACCUGAGCCUGUAUCUGUGUAUUUAAGAAUAAACAAAGUUUUUGUUUCGUAUUUUUACAACAGCUGUUUGGGUAACCUAAAGCACACAGACCGCGAUGCUGGUAUUUAUGAGGCCUGCACUCCAAGGCUGUGAGUGCAACUGGAGCUAAAGGAGCCUUGCUGUUCUGCUGGGGCUUUAUGAAAACUUCAGGAGCAUUUGACAAGUUUUACUCUAUUCAGUGGGAGGAAAAAAGGAAAUGUACUUGUAGUUUUUAAGCUUUACAGAAUGAUUAGGUUUUAAUUUAGCAAAACUAUCCUAGACAAACAUAAUGUAUUUCUUUCUUAUAGUCGCCUAUGGUAGAAAGAGUACUGUGCAAAACUUGCUCUAGUGGAUGUGAGAGCUUUUGAGUCUGACAGUUUAAGUAGCGAAGACGAAAGUGAGGACAGUUCUUGGGCAGGGGACUUGAAGAGGAAUGUGAUUCAUGGGGCAUAGUGACUGGCGUAAUUACCAGUGCAGCUGCUGUAGUAAUUUCUGCCAGUGCUAAAAAAGCCUGUCAUGGCCUGUACUCUGCUGGUCAGAGUGUAAGUGAUAACGAUGGCAGCAGCAGUGCCAACUCCAGGCUGCUGUAUGCGAUUGGAGCAGUUUCUGUUAGGUUUCAAAUUGAUAUAAAACCUUCACAGGAUUUCCUGAAGUGUUCAGGCUGAGGAAAAACUUUGGAAUUGGGAGUGGCAAGGUUUUGUUAUGUGUUUUCUGUGAGGAAUAGUAAGAGUAGUGAUACAGAGGGAUUUAAAUAAUCUGAUAAUGAGUAAAACCUGUCAAAUUCAGGCAAGGAAAACCAAGGACUUGAGCACCUUCAAUUUUAACAUUAUCAGCACAAAGGGUUUGUAAGAAAUCCAUUUGCUUCAGUAUUCUAUUAAAUAAGGUUUUAAACUUUUUGUUCUGAUAGAGCUUUCUGUCAUUCUGUAUUUUUUUAAUCACGUUCUGUAAUCUGAAACAUCUGACUUGUGGUUCAGUGUUUGUUUCCAUUUAAGCCAAGUGACACAUUUCAGAGUUGAUCCAGCAUGGAAUUUGGAGGAAGGAGCUCUUGAAGCACUGGGACAGAAGAGUGGGAAGAAACGUUCUGCUGGACCCAGGCUUCUUUCUCAUGUAAAUGGCUUGACCUAGCGAGGAAAAGCUUUUGCUGAAGAGUGAGGGGAAUUUUGAAAUACUAACCACAAAAUGUUAUUUUCUGUCACUAAUGUGCAUCAUCAAAACUCACUUCUCUAGCACUCAACAAAUGUAAUUUGCAUUUAAAAUUGAAGUGGAUUGCCAAAAGUCUUACAUCAGUCUCACAUCAAAGACAGCAGAAUUUCCUAGAAUUCAGGGACUCUGAUACUUACUGUCAGAGCAAUCUGUUUAACUGCCUAGCCCCAACAUCUGCAUUAGCAGCUCAUUGCAUUUCACCUGUGCAGUAGAAAUAAUAAUUUUGUCCUAUUUGAGAGAAGGCUUAGCUUCCUUCCUAGAUGUUCUAAGUGUAAACUGUAAAUACAUAUGCAGUGUUCCUAAUUUCUUUCAGUCUUCCUUAUCCUCUUCAAAGAGUUUCCAGAUCUUGCUCUUUUUCAACCUUUUAUUUACCUUUGAUUUCAUUUCUGCCAUUUCCAUCUCCUGUUCUUAAUAACGUGCCUCCCUCAGAUUGUUGCUGAAGAAUGCCAAACAGUGUUUGUGGCUCGAUUCAAGAAAGAGAUUAAGGAGGAGAUCACAAUUUCCUGCAUCCAAAGGUAUCAGAAGAUUGUUAGCUAAUUUAUGAAAACAUUCUGUAAUCAUUGCUCAUUGUUGUCCCUGUUGACUGAUGGUACGAGUUCCACAGGCUUAAAUUCGGGCACAAGAUGAGUCCUAAAAUAACACUGUAGAGUUUCUCCUUGUGCAGCAAGCGACUCUGCUCAUCCCAAGCACCUGGUGACUGCAACCUGAGUGACAGUAAGUAGUGUAGUUCUGUGGCUUAUGUUUCCAGCAUGUAUAUAUGUGUACACUGAGGCUCAGCCCUAAUAAAGUCACCUUUUAUGAAAGUUGUAUUGCAUAUUGUCUUUGUCAUAGGUGGCUAUUAGUUUAUGGAAUGACAGUCACAUGACAUUUUUGAAAAUGCCAUUAAAUAUUAAGAUUCUCAGUUUGCUUGAAGGUUGUGGUGGUUUUUUGGUUUUAAUAACAAAAACCUCAAGCCUGAAAAUGAUAGUUCAGUCCUUUUCCCAUGGCAUCUUUGAGCCUUUUUCCAAUAUGGUAAGCAGGGUGAGAACUGAUUAUGUUGUAAAAAUUAAAAUAAUCUCAGUUUAAAGCCUAUCAAGUAAAAAUAGUUCUAGUUUUAAAAUGAGAAAUACUAUUUUACAUGUUAUAAAAGAAAGUGUUCACCUCAGAGCUGGCUUUUUUUUCCCUCUCCUCAGCAAUUAGGUAUUCACAGUCUCCAAAGGGAGGUUAGCAAAGACAGUAGUUCGAUUGGAAGGGGCCUACAAAGGUAAUCGUAUCCACUUACAUUGCCACCUUGGGGAUGACCAAAAGUUAGAGCAGGUUCUGAGUGUCAUUUAGUGUUUCAAUUGGGGUUUUUUGUUUGGGUAUUUUUUGGCUAGUGUGUAGAGUAGUGUGAUGUGUGCCCACUGCUUUUUUUGCCCAGUUAAACAAAAAAUUCAACAGUUAAACUCCAGGGUAAAUCACAGGUGAUAAUGGGAUACGAAACUCUUGUUUUACCGAGCUCCCUGAGACAGGGUUCUGCAAUUCUUUUAGUGGUUCAAAAUGUCAUUGAGGGAGAGAGAAAUCUGACCAAUGGAUUGAUAACUGAGUAAUACCUGUGAGAUGUACAAAGAAGGAGGAAGAACUGAGUCUGUUUUAAAGAUGAGUAAAUUGAGAUGAGAGCAGGAAGGGUUUUGCUUAUGCUUUUCUUGAAUCUACACCUGUCAGUCUGCAAUGUACAGUAAUGUCCAAAGCCAAGAAAAAAAAAUAAAAGAAGUUUACGCCCCAGUAUGAGAGCCAAGAAGCAGAAGUUUCCUUGGUCAUCUUGCUUCUGCCACAGUGUUCUUUCUGUCUGGCAUUUGUGGUGGAAGUGGCAGCAAUAUUAAGUAAGUUGCAGGUAAUUCUCGACCAUCCAGACUCAAAUCUUCAUCAGUGUGUUAAUGCAAAACUAUCUGAUUGGCAUGAGGAAACUGCAUGGCUUUGGACUGGAAACACAACUGGAGAAGAUGCUGGGGCUGCUCAGAGAGACAACAUGAACAAGUGUAAUUGUAUCAGAUGCCUCCAGGAGUCUGCAGGCCGAGUGGCUGAAAUCUGUCCUUCCCAUGCACACAACUCUGCUGGGGCAGCAUCGUUUGUUGUGGGUCAGAUCUUUCAGGUAGCAGCUGUACAAAGUGCCUCACCAUGCUGUGUGCCCUCUGAGUGAAGUGCAAAGCACAGAUCUUUACAUGGAAUGGAUGGUGGGACAUGAGCUGGGAGAACGUUCAGAGCCUUGGAGUGUUGUUGCUGCUCAUGUGCUGCAUUUCUCUCUUUGAAAGUUCCCACAAAAAGCUUGCAACAUACGGUGUAUAUUUAAGAGCCCCCCGAGGAGGGGAAUAAAAUACGUUUUUCUCUUUUCUCCAUACUUCAUGAAUGGCUCCCUUCUUGAAAACCACAGAUGAUGGAGCCUUGUUUGUUUUCUUACAUCAUUUCUGCUCUUUUUGCAGUCGUCUCAAAAACGUUCUGUUUCUGCCAUUGUUCCUUAACUAUUUGCUUUCCUAUCUCAGAUGGCCUUAUGAAUGGAAACCCAUAGGAAAUGAAUAUUUGUGUUUAUUAAUGCUUCAACUUCUGCUAGCUAAGAGCUCUGGGAAGUACAGCAGUAUGGGCAAAACCAGUAAGAGUUGUGUUUUGGAAUGCUGUGUGUGUGAGUGCUGUGGCUGCUGUCUGCUCCAAGGCAGCAUUAGGAGUCAAGUAGGUGUUCAGAGCUGACAGUUAAUUUGAGUGAAAAUAGAUGCAAGAAGUGCCUGUUGGCAGCUGUGGGAUGUCUUAACUGGAAAGUAUAGCAAGUGUGGAUGUUUGUAAAGGAAGGUGGGUCCUCACCUGGGCAGAAUCAGGUUCUGAAAUACAGGAAGGCUGAAUUAGCAUGUGCAGCUAUGUGGAACUGCAUUCCAAUGCGUGGCCUCACUCACAGUGACCAAGCAAACCGAGCUCCUGUGUAUGCUGGGCUUGUUUUACUGUGCCUGAACCUAAUGCACUCCGAAGUUCAGGAUAAAUGAUUAUACAAAGGGGAAGAGAAAUGACUGGAGUGUUUGUAUUCUAUUUGUGCUCAGUAGCAUGUCUGUGAGCUUUAAAAAACAAAGCAAAAUGAAGUUUCAGACGAUGCAUUUCUGCCUUACUGAAGGUAAGGUCUGGUGUGUGGGGAAGUCAGUGCAGGGAAAGGACUCGUUAUUGUCAUAGAAAUUAAUCACUUUUAAUGCUGUGAGGUUGGUUGGGAAAAAAAAAGGUUUCUAGUAUGAUAUUUACUACCUUGGGUGAAUACUUGAAGAGGAUUUUUAUUCAUCUACAAUGAAGGCAGUGGCUCAGCAACUAAUAGUUUUCACAAAUGCCAAC